GAUGAACGCUAGCGGCAGGCUUAACACAUGCAAGUCGAGGGGUAUAGGGAGCUUGCUUCCUAGAGACCGGCGCACGGGUGCGUAACGCGUAUGCAAUCUACCUUUUGCAGAGGAUAGCCCAGAGAAAUUUGGAUUAAUACCUCAUAGUAUGUGAGAAUGGCAUCAUUUUCACAUUAAAGUCACAACGGCAAAAGAUGAGCAUGCGUCCCAUUAGCUUGUUGGUAAGGUAACGGCUUACCAAGGCAACGAUGGGUAGGGGUCCUGAGAGGGAGAUCCCCCACACUGGUACUGAGACACGGACCAGACUCCUACGGGAGGCAGCAGUGGGGAAUUUUGGACAAUGGGCGCAAGCCUGAUCCAGCAAUGCCGCGUGCAGGAUGAAGGCCCUUGGUUGUAAACUGUNUUUGUACGGUAACGAACGGUAGA
rnacentral:rRNA from 1 species